UCGGACAUAGUGUCGGACUGUCAGCCUAAAAUAUUCCUCUUUAUAUCAUUCUCCAUUUCUGUGAAUAUGCAAAUAUAAGUGCCAUGUAUGUGCUUGUGGAACUUUUGCUGUAAAAUUUCACGCUUCUUUACGAAAAGUAGGUUGAAGAAAGUUUUGAUUUUUCUUGGAUAGGUUAUCAUAUGACAGAACGUCUGGGGUGAAAGCUAAGCUACUUCCAAUGGUAAGAAUUGAAAUCUGGAUGAAACCUCCAUUAUUUGUUUUAUAUAUUUUUAGAUACAUGAGAGAACUAAUGAUAUUUUUAGACUGUAGAACAACCCUUUCAAGGAUUCUCUCUCCAUGAGCAUAUAUAUUGCCUCAGCUUAUAUCCAUUGCCGCGCGCAUGGGCGUGUCAGUAGCAUUACUUUGAUAACAUGUCUAUAUCACUGUAAUGUUGGACAUAAGUUCUGCUACAUCCAAACAAGCUUAUCUGAUUUCCAAGAAGAGUAAAAAAAAUCUUUAGUAAUUUCCUGGAUUUUGCUUAUAUCACUGUAAUGUUGGACAAUAAGUUCUUAAUACAUUUGGAGCAUCUACUCUCUGGUAAGGAGUCAUGGGGAAGACUAUAUUUUUAGUUGACAUUGUAAAUGAUUUUAAUGGCCACAAUUUUUUUUCUUGUUUCUUUUCAGGUCCCAAAUGAGAAGGCAAGAAGGUAUCAGCUGUAUGAGAAGACCCCCGCCCAUUCCAUUCUCUAUGAAGUCAAAAGUUUCCCACUGAAUAUAUUUGGUACUAAAACGGUCGUUAUGUCAGCACCACGAUCGCGUGCCUAUUGUUGGCUCUUAAUUCUUUAGGAUUAUUUGAUUUGUUUGAUUCAUUCUGUUCAUAUUUAUGCAGCAACAAAAUACAUUCAAGAUCAGGGUGUGUGAGGGUUAAACAUGUUCAUUUAUGUGGCAUCAAGCUAUGUAUGUUGAUAGCAUGAUCUCCUUUUCUUUUGCUUUGCAGAAUUAUUCUCGACACUGGAGAUAUAUGCUAAUCCUCUAGCUUUGCUAAUUUUAUCUUUUGAUUUCAUUUCAGUGGUGUAGUAUUGCACCUCAUUCACAGUUGUAGAUGUGUGUCAAGAUAUCAAAUCAUCCGUCUUUUAGGUCAACGGCAUGCCCAUCGUGGUACACCCCUAGAUUUAAAUGACUCUAAAGUCCAUGGUCCACCUAAUAAAGAUAGAAAUAAUUAUGUUGGUAAGGUGGGUUAAACCCAACUUAAGCUCACACUGUUUUUAUGUUCUCUUACACCUGCAGGUAUUAUUAAACAAUAUCCUAACUGAAUAUCAAACACAUUGCUGGCUACAUGAUAUGUAAAGUAAAAUGUAUGUUGCUACUAAAAUUUAUAUCCGAAUGAUGGUGGCCAUUAUCUAUUUUUAAGCAAAC
rnacentral:lncRNA from 1 species